ensembl:lncRNA
GAAAUGACCAGCAUCAUGAUUUCAUUUCCUGCCUGUUGGCACCAUGCCUGCUCUCCUCCACAGAGAUCUGGAGAAGAGGUCUUUUUAAAAUGCAGCAAGAAAGACUGAGGCUAGACCCAAGGAAGAACAGCAAAACCACCUGAGCCUGGAGACCCAGGAAGUGAUCGUUGAGGCCUCUCCUUCUCUGGCAGCCUCUAGGACUAGGAUUCAAAGUCGUCAUGAGGGGAGCUCAGGGGUGGCCUGGCACCGAGGUGGAAGCAGGAACUCAAGGAUUUUGGCCCUGUGGAUUCAGGAAGGAGUCGUCAUGGGUUGCCUUAAGUGGCAUUCCUUUCCCAAGCCAGAGUGGGGUCGAGUCAAUGCGGAAACGGAGGCUCGGAGAGGUAAAGAAACUUGCUCAUACAGCUGGUCAGUGAUGGAGCCCUGAUUGGACGCCAAGUCUUGACUCCAAAGCUCGUGCCCUCUCCUCCGUUCCACGCUCUUUCUCCAGCCUCCCUGCCCACCAUUUCUCACUUCCCUCACUUCACUAUCACGCACCUUGAAGGUGCCGUGACGUUUAAAGCCUCUGGUUUUUAUAGGGUGUUCCUUCUGACUCAUGUGACACCCCCAUGCCUGCCCAGGAAACUCCUAUCAUGCUCCAGGUUCUUGCUCAAGCAUUUUAUCCUCUGUGAAAUCUUCCCAGACCUCCUUAAACAGCUUGAGAUAGUUGUUCCCUCUUCUGGUUCACGCUGUCUUUUUCAUCCUGCUGUUACUCUAUCAAUCGUGUCAUACAGUCUUCAUUGAACGGCCUGACUGCCUCCUCUAUGGAUCUGUGAGCAUUCAAGUGUAGGGACCAGGUUUUAUUUGUCAUUGAUUCCCUAAUCCCAGUCACAGGACCUGGGGUUAACAUAGAUUGAACUGUUUUUCAAAUGUUAAGUGCUUUACACGGACUAUCUUACUUAACUUUCCUAACAAGCCUGUAAGAUAUUGUUUCCCUGCUUUUCCAGGUGAGGAGAUUGAGAGUAAGGGAGCAACAUCAGCUCCAGAAUUUUAAUCAAUUUAAUUUAUGAGUUCUAAUCGGGUUGCAGGGGUACCAGGAGAUUCGUCCUGACGCUGGGUUUCGAUAUGCAUUGUUUUACUUUACACAUUGUGUGUUUUGGGGGGUUGGCUAUGACAAUUAUGCCGACCUUCCCCUAGUGCCACUCAGCUACUCCUUGGUGCCACUUCUAGCAGGAAGUGAUUUGCCCACGAUCACACAGCUGGAAAGUGGCAGAGUGAGCACUUGAACCGUGCCUAGUUCUGGAGAACACCUGAGGGGGCUGCCAGGAGGCGGGUAGUUAGAAGUCAUUAGGUAAUGAGUCAUUAACAUGGGCUUUACAAGAAGAAACCCGAAAGACUCAAUUUUUUCUAGCUUCUAGGUUAAUAGGGGAAAUAAGUCAUUAAAAUGUACAUAAUGACACAUACAAAAAGGACACACCUAGCAGGUGCAUAAAAAUAGCAACUGGGCAGAAAUCUCUCCUGGAGCUGGGAGCCGAGGUGAGGGACGCUGGGUGAGGAGGUUCUGGGCAAAGGAGCUCUGCCUCCCGUGUUGGUGAGGAGGUGUGCCGUCG